UUUGAGUAGAGAUGGGGUUUUACCAUAUUGGCCAGGCUGGUCUCCAACUCCUGACCUCAGGUGAUCCACCCACCUCAGCCUCCCAAAUUGCUGGGAUUAUAGCUGUCACCGAGCCCAGCCAACUGUGAUGUUUUUAAC